AUAGUAGUAGCCUAAUUGGUGGGGCACUGCAUUUGGGAUGCAGAGGAUGCAGGUUCAAGUCCUGUCUACUAUAC
rnacentral:tRNA from 1 species